AGUGAACGCUGGCGGUAUGCCUAACACAUGCAAGUCGAACGGCAACACAGUAAGAGCUUGCUCUUACGGGUGGCGAGUGGCGGACGGGUGAGGAAUACAUCGGAAUCUACUUUUUCGUGGGGGAUAACGUAGGGAAACUUACGCUAAUACCGCAUACGACCUACGGGUGAAAGCAGGGGAUCUUCGGACCUUGCGCGAUUGAAUGAGCCGAUGUCGGAUUAGCUAGUUGGCGGGGUAAAGGCCCACCAAGGCGACGAUCCGUAGCUGGUCUGAGAGGAUGAUCAGCCACACUGGAACUGAGACACGGUCCAGACUCCUACGGGAGGCAGCAGUGGGGAAUAUUGGACAAUGGGCGCAAGCCUGAUCCAGCCAUACCGCGUGGGUGAAGAAGGCCUUCGGGUUGUAAAGCCCUUUUGUUGGGAAAGAAAAGCAGCAGGUUAAUACCCCGCUGUUCUGACGGUACCCAAAGAAUAAGCACCGGCUAACUUCGUG
rnacentral:rRNA from 1 species